UGAUCAAACUUUAUCAUAUGGUAAGUUAAUACAUUCAAAGAUUGUUUUAAUUAUUAAGUAUAAGUAUAUGCUGCCUGUCAAAUGCGUUGGUUCAAGGCACCUUUUUAGAUGCACUUGUUAUGAUUAUAUUUUUGUUCCUUAAAACGUUGUUAUUCUAUUAAGGAACUAUUUGCUGUCAUUCCCAGACUAUGUAAAUCAAUACAGAAUGCAGUGGAACUUUGUCAAUAUUUUCAGAUUUUCUGGCUUUGAAUUAACUUAUUUUAUUCUUUAUUAUCACAGCUCUAGAUAUGACAGCCAUUUCCUCAUAUAGAAACAUGAUUAAAU